AGCUUUGCGCAGUGGCAGUAUCGUAGCCGAUGAGGUUUAUCCGAGGCUCGGUUAUUGCUAAUUGAAAACUGUUCUUGCUGCAGAGAAAUUAUUUUUCAUCAGAGGGACUUAAACAUUUCACUUUUUAAAAAAUUUUUAUUUAU